rnacentral:rRNA from 1 species
AGCGAACGCUGGCGGCAGGCCUGACACAUGCAAGUCGAACGAAGUCUUCGGACUUAGUGGCGGACGGGUGAGUAACACGCGGGAACGUACCUUUUGGUUCGGAACAACUCAGGGAAACUUGAGCUAAUACCGGAUGAGCCCUUAGGGGGAAAGAUUUAUCGCCGAAAGAGCGGCCCGCGUUAGAUUAGCUAGUUGGUGAGGUAAAGGCUCACCAAGGCUACGAUCUAUAGCUGGUCUGAGAGGAUGAUCAGCCACACUGGGACUGAGACACGGCCCAGACUCCUACGGGAGGCAGCAGUGGGGAAUCUUGCGCAAUGGGCGAAAGCCUGACGCAGCCAUGCCGCGUGAAUGAUGAAGGUCUUAGGGUUGUAAAGCUCUUUCAGUAGGGAAGAUAAUGACGGUACCUACAGAAGAAGCCCCGGCUAACUUCGUGCCAGCCGCCGCAGUAAGAC